rnacentral:rRNA from 1 species
GAUGAACGCUGGCGGCGUGCCUAAUACAUGCAAGUCGAGCGAACAGAUAAGGAGCUUGCUCCUUUGACGUUAGCGGCGGACGGGUGAGUAACACGUGGGUAACCUACCUAUAAGACUGGGAUAACUUCGGGAAACCGGAGCUAAUACCGGAUAACAUUUGGAACCGCAUGGUUCUAAAGUGAAAGAUGGUUUUGCUAUCACUUAUAGAUGGACCCGCGCCGUAUUAGCUAGUUGGUAAGGUAACGGCUUACCAAGGCGACGAUACGUAGCCGACCUGAGAGGGUGAUCGGCCACACGGGAACUGAGACACGGUCCAGACUCCUACGGGAGGCAGCAGUAGGGAAUCUUCCGCAAUGGGCGAAAGCCUGACGGAGCAACGCCGCGUGAGUGAUGAAGGGCUUCGGCUCGUAAAACUCUGUUAUUAGGGAAGAACAAAUGUGUAAGUAACUGUGCACGUCUUGACGGUACCUAAUCAGAAAGCCACGGCUAACUACGUG